rnacentral:rRNA from 1 species
CAGCAGCCGCCGCGGGAAUGCGUAGGUGGCAAGCGUUGUCCGGAAUCAUUGGGCGUACAGGGCUCGCAGGCGGUUUCUUAAGUCUGAUGUGAAAGCCCCCGGCUCAACCGGGGAGGGUCAUUGGAAACUGGGAAACUUGAGUGCAGAAGAGGAGAGUGGAAUUCCACGUGUAGCGGUGAAAUGCGUAGAGAUGUGGAGGAACACCGGUGGCGAAGGCGACUCUCUGGUCUGUAACUGACGCUGAGGAGCGAAAGCGUGGGGAGCGAACAGGAUUAGAUACCCGGGUAGUCCCUGUCUCUUAUAC